rnacentral:lncRNA from 1 species
AGAAUUGAAAUGUGGUUUCAAUUCACAAUCGAUCGUUAAGAGUAACAAUCACCCACUACCUCGCUAAUUGGAACCUAAUGGAUCGUACACCAAGUAAGGGCGAUAGUGAAGAAAUUAAAUGAAAUGGAUAUGCAAUUAAAUGGUUUAAUUGAAGAAUUGUCAAGAUUAAUUAAUUAGUUAAUUAAUUAUACGAAAGGUUCGUAUUGGGCUUUUAAGUUGGUUUUGGGUUUC